UACGGAGGGUGCGAGCGUUGUCCGGAAUCAUUGGGCGUAAAGGGCGCGUAGGUGGCCCCUCAAGCGUGCGGUGAAAGUCAGGGGCUCAACCCCUGAUCGGCCGUGCGAACUGGGGAGCUUGAGCACUGUAGAGGCAGGCGGAAUUCCGGGUGUAGCGGUGGAAUGCGUAGAGAUCCGGAAGAACACCGGUGGCGAAGGCGGCCUGCUGGGCAGUUUUGCUGACACUGAGGCGCGGACAGCGUGGGGAGCAAACAGG
rnacentral:rRNA from 1 species